GCCUGGAAGGCUCAGUCGGUUAAGCAUCUGACUUCAGCUCAGGUCAUGAUCUCAUUAUCUGUGGGUUUGAACCCCACAUCAGGCU
rnacentral:tRNA from 1 species